rnacentral:rRNA from 1 species
AUCCAGACUCCUACGGGAGGCAGCAGUGGGGAAUAUUGCACAAUGGGGGGAACCCUGAUGCAGCGACGCCGCGUGGGUGAAGGAGUAUUUCGGUAUGUAAAGCCCUAUCAGCAGGGAAGAACAAUGACGGUACCUGACUAAGAAGCACCGGCUAAAUACGUGCCAGCAGCCGCGGUAAUACGUAUGGUGCAAGCGUUAUCCGGAUUUACUGGGUGUAAAGGGAGCGUAGACGGCGAUGCAAGUCUGAAGUGAAAGGCGGGGGCCCAACCCCCGGACUGCUUUGGAAACUGUAUAGCUGGAGUGCAGGAGAGGUAAGUGGAAUUCCUAGUGUAGCGGUGAAAUGCGUAGAUAUUAGGAGGAACACCAGUGGCGAAGGCGGCUUACUGGACUGUAACUGACGUUGAGGCUCGAAAGCGUGGGGAGCAAACAGGAUUAGAUACCCGUGUAC